GACGUAGGGGGCCAGCGUUGUUCGGAAUUACUGGGUGUAAAGGGUUCGUAGGCGGUGCGGCAAGUCGGGAGUGAAAUCUCUGGGCUCAACCCAGAGGCUGCUUCCGAAACUGCUGUGCUUGAGUGUGGGAGAGGCGCGUGGAAUUGCAGGUGUAGCGGUGAAAUGCGUAGAUAUCUGCAGGAACACCCGUGGCGAAAGCGGCGCGCUGGACCACUACUGACGCUGAAGAACGAAAGCUAGGGUAGCAAACGGG
rnacentral:rRNA from 1 species